rnacentral:rRNA from 1 species
CAUAGCCUAGUGUAUAUACUAGGUGAUUUCUGCCCGGUGAUUUUAACGGCCGCAGUACCUUGACUGUGCUAAGGUAGCGUAAUAAUUUGGCUUUUAAUUGAGGUCUUGAAUGAAAGGGAAACGUGGAGAUUGUCUCUUUAAAAAUUUAUAAAUUUAUUUAUUAGGUGAAAAUACCUAUAUUUGAUACUAGACGAGAAGACCCUUAGAAUUUAAAUUAUUUUUGUUGGGGCGACAAAGUUACAUUUAACUUACUUAUUUAAGUUACUAGUCGAGGGUGAUAAAAUUACCUGAGGGAUAACAGCAUAAUUUUAAGUUUGUGACCUCGAUGUUGGAUUAGGGAAUAAAGGUUAGUAAUUUUUAUUGUUCUGUUCGAACCCUACGUGAU